rnacentral:lncRNA from 1 species
AGACCCAAAGAUGACCACCCCUCUCCUUCUUUAUGAAGAGAUGAGGAAGCCGAGACCUGUAGCUGGCCACUGAAUCAGGAGUGGAACUUUCGCAGUCUUUUAAGUUCAUGGAGAAGCUGCGCUUCCUCUGCCUGCUCCCUUCCUGGAGCCUCUGUAGAACUUACCACUUACCGGAAGGCUGUCCACGGGUUCGCUCAGAGCCCCGCACAGGCUCCGCCUUCGUCUCCUGUGCUGACCCCCAGCACUGAAUGCUUUCCUUCCCCCUUGGGCUUGGGUUUGAGGGGUGAGGCUAAAACUCCUUCUUUCCAGUGAACUCACCCCCUGGUCCUUCCAGGGCCCAGGCCCUGCAUCGCUCUGUGGAGGCCCCUCUGCUUCUCUGCUGCCCUCUCAUCCCUCGGGCAGCUCGCAUGGGUGGAAGUAGCCACAACUCCUACUGACGCUGAUUCCUCCCUGGUGGGGAAGCUGCAAGGAUGUGCAGCCCCCUCCGCACGCUCAGGAGGCCUCAGAGAGAACCAGCCUGGCCUGUGGGCCCCCAGCAACCCUGACUUCUGCCCGAUCCCUCGCUAACCAGCAGCUCCACCUCCUGCCAGUCUGGGCAUCUCCCAUCCAGAGCUGGGCAAAGCCCUUGGGCCUGGGGGUUAUAGAAAGGAAUAUGGCCUUGACUCCCUAAAAUUUUAUAAUUUUGGGGAGAAGACAGGUAGGACAAGCACAGGUGCAUUUUAAGAACUACACAUGAGGAAGGAAGAUGCACCAAUACAAAUGAUCAGAACAGAGCUCUGCAGAGGCCCCUUAAGGAAUGGUCCAUGGAUAUGAUUGCAAUGGGAAGAGAGCACACAGCCUGAAAUCCACACCCCCUGGAAGACGGGGAGGAUGCCACCAAUGCAGGCCCAGAAAAGGGAGAGCCUUGUAGGCAGAGCUGGCAGUGCCCAUCUGAUGGGAAAACUGUGCUCCUGGUUGAUGGCACAAGUGUUCUGGCCCUUGCCGGCUUACACCUGCUACAUUGCCAUCAACAAGCCUCAGAUUCUAUGGCAAACAACUUCUCUGCAUUCCUGCUCAUCAAGCAACCUUCUGGUAAGUUGGUGUCUUGACUGUGCUGCUAAAGCAAAACACCAUAGCCUGGCAUGGUGAUGUACACUUGUGACUCAGGAGGCUGAGGCAGGAGGACUGCAGGUUUGAGGACAGCCUCAGCAGCUUACUGAGACCCUGUCUCAAAAAAUAAAAGGCUGGGGAUGUAGCUCAGUGGUAU